rnacentral:rRNA from 1 species
UACGUAGGGUGCAAGCGUUGUCCGGAAUUAUUGGGCGUAAAGAGCUUGUAGGCGGUUUGUCGCGUCUGCUGUGAAAUUUCGGGGCUCAACCCCGAACUUGCAGUGGGUACGGGCAGACUAGAGUGUGGUAGGGGAGACUGGAAUUCCUGGUGUAGCGGUGAAAUGCGCUGAUACCAGGAGGAACACCGAUGGCGAAGGCAGGUCUCUGGGCCAUAACUGACGCUGAGAAGCGAAAGCAUGGGGAGCGAACAGG